rnacentral:rRNA from 1 species
UACGUAGGGUGCAAGCGUUGUCCGGAAUUAUUGGGCGUAAAGAGCUCGUAGGCGGCUUAGAAAGUCGGGUGUGAAACCUCCAGGCUCAACCUGGAGACGCCACUCGAUACUUCUAUGGCUUGAGUUCGGUAGGGGACCAUGGAAUUCCCGGUGUAGCGGUGAAAUGCGCAGAUAUCGGGAAGAACACCCGUGGCGAAGGCGGUUCUCUGGGACGGUACUGACGCUGAGACGCGAAAGCGUGGGGAGCGAACAGG